GACGAACGCUGGCGGCGUGCCUAAUACAUGCAAGUCGAACGCAGUGGGGACGGGUGAGUAACACGUGGGUAACCUCCCAUCAGAGGGGAUAACACUUGGCAAAUGGUGCUAAACUGAUACUGAUGGAUGGACCUGGGGUGCAUUAGCUAGUUGGUGAGGUAACGGCUCACAAAGGCCACGAGGCAUAGCCGGCCGGAGAGGUGGAUCGGCCACACGGGGACUGAGACACGGCCCAGACUCCUACGGGAGGCAGCAGUAGGGAAUCUUCGGCAAUGGACGAAAGUCUGACCGAGCAACGCCGCGUGAGUGAAGAAGGUUUUCGGAUCGUAAAGCUCUGUUGUUAGAGAAGCGGUAUCUAACCAGAAAGCCACGGCUAACUACGUGCCAGCCGCCGCGGUAAUAC
rnacentral:rRNA from 1 species